UACGUAGGAGGCGAGCGUUGUCCGGAAUUACUGGGCGUAAAGGGCGCGUGGGCGGCUCGUUAAGUGUAAGGCUAAAUCUCUAGGCUCAACCUGGAAACUAUUUCGCAUACUGGCGAGCUGGAGUGAUGAAGAGGUUUGUGGAAUUCCUGGUGUAGCGGUGAAAUGCGUUGAUAUCAGGAGGAACACCCAUGGCGAAGGCAGCAAACUGGUCAUCAACUGACGCUGAGGCGCGAAAGCGUGGGUAGCAAACAGG
rnacentral:rRNA from 1 species